UAGCCGUGGCGGGCGUGCUAUACAUGCAAGUCGAGCGGGGUUACUUAGAAGCUUGCUUCUAAUUAACCUAGCGGCGGACGGGUGAGUAACACGUAGGCAACCUGCCCACAAGACAGGGAUAACUACCGGAAACGGUAGCUAAUACCCGAUACAUCCUUUUCCUGCAUGGGAGAAGGAGGAAAGGCGGAGCAAUCUGUCACUUGUGGAUGGGCCUGCGGCGCAUUAGCUAGUUGGUGGGGUAAUGGCCUACCAAGGCGACGAUGCGUAGCCGACCUGAGAGGGUGAUCGGCCACACUGGGACUGAGACACGGCCCAGACUCCUACGGGAGGCAGCAGUAGGGAAUCUUCCGCAAUGGGCGAAAGCCUGACGGAGCAACGCCGCGUGAGUGAUGAAGGUUUUCGGAUCGUAAAGCUCUGUUGCCAGGGAAGAACGUCUUAUAGAGUAACUGCUAUAAGAGUGACGGUACCUGAGAAGAAAGCCCCGGCUAACUACGUGCCAGCAGCCGCGGUAAUACGUAGGGGGCAAGCGUUGUCCGGAAUUAUUGGGCGUAAAGCGCGCGCAGGCGGCUCUUUAAGUCUGGUGUUUAAUCCCGAGGCUCAACUUCGGGUCGCACUGGAAACUGGGAGAGCUUGAGUGCAGAAGAGGAGAGUGGAAUUCCACGUGUAGCGGUGAAAUGCGUAGAGAUGUGGAGGAACACCAGUGGCCGAAGGCGACUCUCUGGGGCUGUUACUGACGCUGAGGCGCGAAAGCGUGGGGGAGCAAACCAGGAUUAGAUACCCUGGUAGUCCACGCCGU
rnacentral:rRNA from 1 species